rnacentral:rRNA from 1 species
AGGUUCCAUCAUACCAGCGUUAAUGCACCAGAUCCCAUCAGAACUCUGCAGUUAAGCGCGCUUGGGCUAGAGUAGUACUAGGAUGGGUGACCUCUCAGAAAUUCCUAGUGUUGCACCCU